rnacentral:rRNA from 1 species
UACGUAGGGUGCAAGCGUUGUCCGGAAUUAUUGGGCGUAAAGAGCUCGUAGGUGGCCUGUCGCGUCGGCUGUGAAAACUCGGGGCUCAACUCCGAGCUUGCAGUCGAUACGGGCAGGCUAGAGUUCGGCAGGGGAGACUGGAAUUCCUGGUGCAGCGGUGAAAUGCGCAGAUAUCAGGAGGAACACCGGUGGCGAAGGCGGGUCUCUGGGCCGAUACUGACACUGAGGAGCGAAAGCGUGGGGAGCGAACAGG